rnacentral:lncRNA from 1 species
ACAGGAAAAGGCAGCCCUGUCCUCUUGCAGAGGGAAGAAUACACCUGUGGCUGAGCAGCAAUUCAGUGCCUGCGUCAUAGAAGGGUCCGUGUCAGUAAGGAAGUGAAAAGCAGGAUGGAAUACUGGAACCCUCCUGGCAGAUUGUCUGAGGUCAGUGUGUUUUCUGGUACGGCUUCUUCUUUGUUUUCUUCCUCAUCAUCCGGCGCUGGUUCAGAAGCACUCACCUCCAUCAAGUCGUCUUCUGGUUAUUGUCUUCUGUGAAUUCCUCUGCUGUG